UUCAGAUAAGUCAAAUCUUAAAACAAAACAAAGAAAUAAGAAAACCUUAGCAAAUGCUGAUUUAUCAUUCUCAGCUUCAGAUAUUUGCAAAUUGUGCUGUUAGUAUCAUGUCCAAGAUCUCUUGACUAACCCCUGGUCACAAAGGCAUUAUGAGUGACAGGAACCAGUUUCAAAAGGUGCUAUUUUGAGUCAGGAAAAUACCCAAAGAAAGAUGAUUCUUCUUGACGUGCUUCUCACUGAAUAAGACCUUUAUUCACCUUUGUAUGUAUCAACUGUCUAGUCCAGUGGAAGCUGAGCCGAAUCGUAGAGGCCAUGUUCUUGCAGAAGCAAUAUCCCUCUGAGUUUCAGAAGCCUGCUCAGCCUGUGGAUAAUAGCCUUCUGCAUCUUGUCCGGAACAACUGCUCAAGUAUUCAAGGAUCCUGGGAACUCAUCAGCACAGAUUUCCAGCCACUAGGUACUGUUCUCCCGGACUAUCGACUUCACCACCAUCUUCUGCUCUUCUGCUCACUCCACAUCAUCUGGAUUACUCAGGAACUGACUUUGAAACUGUAGCCAGCAUGCAUCCAGGGUAGGGGCAGCCAUGACACUGAAGCUGGGUAUGUAUGUAUGUAACAGUUAUUUUAAAGACUUUAUAUUCACAAAGAAAUGUGCUCAUAGUCUAUGGAUAAGUUAAAAAUACUUAAAAGUGGCUAUUAUAUGAUCAUACACAUUUUAAAUAACAGUAGAUAUUUAGAGGGAUAAUCACCAAAACCUGUAACAAUUAUC